GAUGAACGCUGGCGGCGUGCCUAAUACAUGCAAGUCGAGCGAACGGACGAGAAGCUUGCUUCUCUGAUGUUAGCGGCGGACGGGUGAGUAACACGUGGAUAACCUACCUAUAAGACUGGGAUAACUUCGGGAAACCGGAGCUAAUACCGGAUGAUAUUUUGAACCGCAUGGUUCAAAAGUGAAAGACGGUCUUGCUGUCACUUAUAGAUGGAUCCGCGCUGCAUUAGCUAGUUGGUAAGGUAACGGCUUACCAAGGCAACGAUGCAUAGCCGACCUGAGAGGGUGAUCGGCCACACUGGAACUGGGACACGGUCCAGACUCCUACGGGAGGCAGCAGUAGGGAAUCUUCCGCAAGGGGCGAAAGCCUGACGGGGCAACGCCGCGUGAGUGAUGAAGGUCUUCGGAUCGUAAAACUCUGUUAUUAGAGAAGAACAUAUGUGUAAGUAACUGUGCACAGCUGGACGGUACCUAAGCAGAAAGCCCCGGCUAACUA
rnacentral:rRNA from 1 species